rnacentral:rRNA from 1 species
GACGAACGCUGGCGGCGUGCCUAAUACAUGCAAGUCGAACGAAGCUUUUUUAACUGGUGCUUGCACCGACUUAAACAACUGAGUGGCGAACGGGUGAGUAACACGUGGGUAACCUGCCCCAAAGCGGGGGAUAACAUUUGGAAACAGAUGCUAAUACCGCAUAACCACAGAAACCACAUGGUUUCUGUGUCAAAGAUGGUUUCGGCUAUCACUUUGGGAUGGACCCGCGGCGUAUUAGCUAGUUGGUAAGGUAAUGGCUUACCAAGGCAAUGAUACGUAGCCGAACUGAGAGGUUGAUCGGCCACAUUGGGACUGAGACACGGCCGAAACUCCUGCGGGAGGCAGCAGUAGGGAAUCUUCCACAAUGGACGAAAGUCUGAUGGAGCAACGCCGCGUGAGUGAAGAAGGUUUUCGGAUCGUAAAACUCUGUUGUCAGAGAAGAACGUGUGCGAGAGUAACUGUUCGUGCAGUGACGGUAUCUGGCCAGAAAGCCACGGCUAACUACGUGCCAGCAGCCGCGGUAA